UCCCAGUGCGCGUCUAGCAAGGAGCCUGCGUCCCGGGGAGUGCCGGCAACGCCGCCGGCCG
rnacentral:other from 1 species